rfam:Bacterium TASB14 DNA, scaffold: TASB14_scaffold_2.
CCCAGGGCUGACGCCCUGGGCUAAUAUGACCCGCGUCGUUGGCGCG